rnacentral:rRNA from 1 species
CGGCGGACGGGUGAGUAACACGUGGAUAACCUACCUAUAAGACUGGGAUAACUUCGGGAAACCGGAGCUAAUACCGGAUAAUAUAUUGAACCGCAUGGUUCAAUAGUGAAAGACGGUUUGUCUGUCACUUAUAGAUGGAUCCGCGCCGCAUUAGCUAGUUGGUAAGGUAACGGCUUACCAAGGCAACGAUGCGUAGCCGACCUGAGAGGGUGAUCGGCCACACUGGAACUGAGACACGGUCCAG